rnacentral:lncRNA from 1 species
UCUCUCUCCCGCUCUCCCUCCCUCACUUCCUCUCUCUCUCUCUCUAUCUAUCUAUCCAAUCAAGAAAAUAAUGGUUUGGAAUAUAUUUUUUUGUUAACUAAAAAGACGGAUAUCUAUCGCAUGACUCUUACAUGGACUCAUGACGAUAACAAGAAAAUACGCUCUACUUGACCCAAAAUAUAAUAUUUUUUGCGACUUAAACUCAAUCGAC